GACGAACGCUGGCGGCGUGCUUAACACAUGCGAGUCGAACGGAAAGGCCCUGCUUUUGUGGGGUGCUCGAGUGGCGAACGGGUGAGUAACACGUGAGUAACCUGCCCUUGACUUUGGGAUAACUUCAGGAAACUGGGGCUAAUACCGGAUAGGAGCUCCUGCUGCAUGGUGGGGGUUGGAAAGUUUCGGCGGUUGGGGAUGGACUCGCGGCUUAUCAGCUUGUUGGUGGGGUAGUGGCUUACCAAGGCUUUGACGGGUAGCCGGCCUGAGAGGGUGACCGGCAACGUCGGGGCUGGGCGCGCGCGCAGAGUGCGCGGUGGGGAAGGAGGGGGGUAGAUGCGCCAGUGGGCGGAGGCCGGGUGCAGCAGCGGGGGGUUGGGGGGGACGGCUUGGGGGUUGUAACCCCGUCUGGGGUGUGACGAAGGGGGAUUGAGGGUAAGGGGAAAGAAAGCCCCGGAAAACGCGGUGCCGGCAGCCGGGGAAUAAUCGGACGAGCACACGUCUGAAC
rnacentral:rRNA from 1 species